GUAAGGGAAACUUGACGUUAUUGCUAUAAUGCUAUUCUUUUUUACUGGUUUAAAUAGUUUGCAGAUGCAGAAUUUGUCAUCCCAUUAGCCCUUAUAAUCAAAACUAUUCACCUCCUCGUCCUUUUUUCCCCUUUUCUUUUUGGCAGAAUCAGUUUUCAGCUUGUUGUGGUAGUGAAGGAUGUAAAAUCAUCAACUGGAAUGUUCUGCACAAACUGUUGGCUAAUUGGACGGUUUAUUGUAACUUGACGAAAAUCAAGGCAUGGAGCUUGGAUUUACAGCUGCUAGAUUUGAAGCAGAUUUUUGGAAUGCAAUUGCUAAAUUUGCCUUCUUGAAUUAAUCAGGUUUGAUGGAAGGGAGAAUUAUUGAAGAUAUGCAGGCUAUGCUUUGUAGACUUCUGGUUUUGGCUUUUCUGCCAUCCCUACAACUUAGAGUAACACUUAGCUUCCUCUGCUGACUGCUUUAUUGUUGGGACUGAAGAUCCUCCAUCAUCCUGUUCUGGAGGAUCUUUUAUUUACUGAUGUAUUAAGGUUUUUAAUUCCUUAUACAUGCUUACUUUUCUCAAAUAUAAAUGAAUAAAUUAACGCAAGAAUGAUUGAGCA